rnacentral:tRNA from 1 species
GAGGGUAUAGCUCAGUGGUAGAGUGCAUGCUUAGCAUGCAUGAGGUCAUGAGUUUGAGUCCCACUACCUCCG